rnacentral:rRNA from 1 species
UGGUGGAGUGAUUUGUCUGGUUAAUUCCGAUAACGAGCGAGACCUCAACCUACUAAUUAGUUGUGCCAAUCUUCGGAUUGGGUGGCACACAACUUCUUAGGGGGACUAUUGGUGCGUAGCCAAUGGAAGUUUGAGGCAAUAACA